rnacentral:rRNA from 1 species
AUUGAACGCUGGCGGCAGGCCUAACACAUGCAAGUCGAGCGGAUGAAGGGAGCUUGCUCCUGGAUUCAGCGGCGGACGGGUGAGUAAUGCCUAGGAAUCUGCCUGGUAGUGGGGGAUAACGUCCGGAAACGGGCGCUAAUACCGCAUACGUCCUGAGGGAGAAAGUGGGGGAUCUUCGGACCUCACGCUAUCAGAUGAGCCUAGGUCGGAUUAGCUAGUUGGUGGGGUAAAGGCCUACCAAGGCGACGAUCCGUAACUGGUCUGAGAGGAUGAUCAGUCACACUGGAAAUGAGACACGGUCAAGACGCCUACGGGAGGCAGCAGUGGGGAAUAUUGGACAAUGGGCGAAAGACUGAUCCAGACAUGCCGCGUGUGUGAAGAAGGUAUUCGGAUUGUAAAGAACAUGAAGUUGGGAGGAAGGGCAGUAAGUUAAUACCUUGCUGUUUUGACGUUACCAACAGAAUAAGCACCGGCUAACUUCGUG